AGCGUAGAGAUCAGAGAGAGUGACCUGUGUGGAUCUGUAAACCGAGUUUUCUUUUCAGAGCGCAUUUUGGGCUGUGAGUCCGAAGUGGUUGGAAUUAUGAUAAUGUCGGUCUUGUCUACGUCAACAGGAAGUAAGCUGUUGCCUACAAUCCAACUUGCGUCAUCGUUUACUUUGGGGGGUGGGAAAGAUGAGCGUAAUGUACAGAGUGCACGGGCGUAUGCAUUCCUGUAGGGCUCAGCAUCCUGUUCUAGUCUCCACCUCCAGCACCAGUUUCAAGCUGUGCAGCACGUACACCGGCCCCAGCUUCUCACCCACAUCUUUGCACCCUUCCUCUGGGCACUGGGCAUAUUGCAGCACCUCCCAUUCCUCUACUCAGGAAAUGGUACCAGCGGGCUUGUCGCAACCAGCAGCCCACUGCAACUACAAGUGUUUGUGACGAUGCCCAGACGGGUCUACCUUCUUGAAGAGCACGCCAGCUGUCUUCGAACAAAAACAAGACAACAAGCUGAACUCCCGAGUGCUUAGCUUGUCAUCUGGUCGAGUGGAAACAGAGAAGUGCAAGGGUACCAAAAGGGUGAGUGAACAGAUGAGCACCAGGGACCCGAGUGAACCCAGUCAGCUACGAGGCUCCAUUAACCCGAAUCUGUGCCUCUGGUGUUUCAGGAAGGGAACGAAAGGUCAUCUUGGCUGAGAGAGAAAGCCUCUGAUCAGUAAGAGGACCCAUUGUGACACUGCCUGACCUCCAAUGACCCUACAGCCCUUCUAUAGACCCGGUCGUCAUGGACAUUGCUUUAUUUCUAAUAUGCUGUCACGCAGGACCUGCAAGCAGUGACCCCAUGGAUAUCAGUGUCUGUGUUUUUUCAGUUUCUCCCAUCAUUCCCACUGAGCAUUCCUGGGAUGCAAACAAAUCAUCAUUCGUGAUCUCCACACCCAGCUUAUUGGCAAGCAAAUGAGUAGUUUUUAUCAAACUACUACAAUACGAAUGUGCAAAAAAAGAUUAAUUCGAUUUGUUAUAGUUUGACAGCUUUAUUGCACUGAAUUUGUUAAAUAAACAAAAUAUACUUGAGGACACCUGUA